AUUAGGGGCAUCGAGUUAGGACCUCAAGCAUUGUGGCACCAGGGCUGAGCUCUGUGAUCUCUUCUCAACUCAGCAGCUUUCCUGUGCCACGAGGAUUCUGGCCUGGAACGUAUACUGAGGCGUCUCCCUGGCUUUUGAGGGAAGAUACACUAACAGAGAGGCAGGACCACUGAAGGAUGGUGGACACUUGCCUAGAGGUGGGGACUCAGGCUGCGGCCCCAGAGUGUGUGGAGAAUAUAGAGAAACAUAUUGUCCCAUCCUUCAGUCUGGAACUGCAGUUAACUACUAACCACAACUGAACUGUGACCAAUCCCCGAUCAAUGGCAGAUGCUGGAGUAAGGGCAGGAAAUAAUGCAUUCUGUCUGGAGUAAGGAAGGUUAUAUAAAUCCACCUUCCUUCGCAAAGUGUGUUCUGGAAGAGCAGGAUAAUGUUGUGGUAACUGGGCCCGACACUGGGCCUGUCCAAUCAUCCAAGAAAGUAAACCAAGUAUGCUCCAUGCAGGGUCCAGGCACACAGAGAGGUCAGCCCUGAAGGUGACAAGGGCCCUGCCAGUCAUUAGAGGGUGGUGUCUCCUUAAGAAUUAGGGAGAAAAGCAGGGAGAUGGUGGAAAUGAGCAAAACAAAUUAUUUCAUCCCUGAUGCCUCCAACAAGGCAUCUUUUCAUCCUGGGCUGUGGCAGCCUGAGCCUCUGGCCACAGGUCAUCCUUAUCAUGGGAAUCGUCCCACACAAGCUUUGUUCUGAUGCCUAGACAUUUCCUGUGUUUCCAGAGAGAGCAGUUCAGUGUCCAAUUAAUCUUGACAAAUUGCUCCGAAGCUUAAGAACAACAGACACAAAAAGGUAGAAAGAGGGCACAGCAUUCCACUCCGGCCAGAUGUGGGCCGGGCAGCCACAGGAGAGACAAGAAUUUCAUACAUACCAAUGGCUUGAAGUCAGAAGUAAGAGAGUCUCAGCCUGCUGUGAGGGAAACAGGCUGAGGCAGGAGGUAACUUGUUUGGCCUCUGACCACAGGCCUCAGCCCAUCGAAGUGGACAAAGGGUGGACCAAAAAGGGGCCAUGUCUGCUCGGUGCAGGACCUGUCUUAUUUGUUCACAGCCUUCCUUAUCCUGCCAGCUGUUGGAUCUUGCCCUGGCUCUUGGCCCCAUAGCUCACCACAAAACUCCUUCCUGCCGGACUCUGCCCCCUUUGCAGUUUUACCAUCCCAAACGGACUGAGCACCCCAGUUAGGGCCCAAAUACCCUCAGAACUCUCUGUGGACACAAAACUCAGUCACCAAAGAACACUGUCUUCUCCUUGGUACCAGUCACUCUGCCCAAUCCCAGGGGCCUCUUGUCCACCCUAGGACACCUCUCAUUGUGUGUCUGACUGUUCCCCUCAGAGAACGUCCUGCUCACACACAUGAGAGAGACACCUGGCUCUGACUCCUGAGGGAACUUUGCUGGGAACCAGACAUUGGUCUGCACCACAGGCCGAGAUAUUCCAGACAAGUCCACUUUGAUCUGUUUCCUGUAGCAACAAAUUUCCCACCCAGGAGCUUACUGCUCCUUUUGUUCCAGAGUCGGUACGUGGAAGCUGUGUUCCAGAGGGGGGCCCUGGCUGCAUCACAGCUGGACUUGGUAAUGUGUAAGAGUCACUCAGGUGAUACUGGUUUUGAAGAUAUGAAGAAGUCAUGGAGAGCAGCUGAGGCUUGGCACUUGGGCUGGAGUCCCUGAAGAUAGUCCCUGAUAGGCCAUUGGUGAAGGCAUAUCCUCAGUUGGAGUGGAGAUCCUAAUAAAUUGGAGAUACCAGGACUGUUGAAUGACCCUGAGGACAGCAGCAGCUGUGGUUUGGAGCUGGCCUGAGCCUAUGAGAAGUGCUACAGAGAACAGAGCCAGAGAAGUGGAGCUGUCCAAGUCCUUUGGAGCCCAGAAGAUCUUGAAUGAGUCCCACACUGUCCCCUCUUAGCUAAACAGUCUCCUGUGUUUUGUCUGCCUGUAUGUCUGCAUACCAGAAGAAUAAAUCAGAAUCCAUGAGCCCACAGCUAUAGACUGCUAUGAGUCAUCAUGCAGGGAAUUGAACUCAGGACCUUUGGAACAGCAUCUAGUGCUCCUAACCACUGAGCCAUCCCUCCCUCCAGACCAUUAGUAAGAAUUAUUAACUAAAAAUAAAUGGUAGCUGUA